UCAAACCCUUUCCAUUUCCACGGUUCCACCCCUUCGUUCUUUGCUUAGAAACACUAGUGACCAGGAUGGGGAUGUUGCGACCUCAUGGGGGAAACAAUUUCACACUCAAGACUACAACGUUGGAAGGGUGGUCUUUGAUUUGGUUUUGCAAUAGUGAAUAACUUGAUGGAAUCAAAGAAGAAAUCCUUUUUCUUCUUCAUCACUCCUUAAUCAGUAGAGGGGCGUGAAAAUGCCGUGGAGAUGCUGAGAAACAUAUACCCGGCCAGUGACAGGAUCCAGACACCUAUAGCCCUUGUGCUGCGAACUGUACUCUACUUUUACUCUCCCGUAGAAGGGUCUAUAGCUUGGAUUUGCCCAUUCUUCUUGACAUGUACUAAUGUUAGCUUGCGUUCUCGGCCUAGUAUCCUGCACCUCGUGUUCAUGAUUCCUGAAUUGAAUGGUAAUAGGAAUUGUUUCUUUUUCUUCUUUUUUGUAUGAAUUCAAGGGUGUGGGCGGGAAAUUUGUGGUUGUGAUGUAAUUUGUUUCUAAUUAUGUAAUGUUGAUGUGAACUUGGCCAUGAAAAAGGUAAACUUGGUGCAAAUGUGUCAAUGAUUGUAAAAAGUCUAAAUGUAGUCGAUUUAAGCCAUUUGGGCACAUCAGUGAAAAUUAGGCUAAUGUGAUAAGAAAUCUUUGUAUUCUACAAUCAAUGGUUAGUUUUGACUAUAGUCAUAUUGUGUUCACAGAAUAAGUUUAGUGUAUUUGGUUUACAAAUGACUCUCCUUUUGUUCCUUUGAACAAAGAUUUAUGUUAGCACAGGAUUUAAGUUACUAGAUUCAUCAUCAUUUCCAUUUUUAAUUUCUCAAUUUUUUUCGUGUUAGUAUUAGAUAUCGACCUCGGUUAAGUUUCAAAGGUCUAGCAGAUUUAAAGGUCUAGAAGUGGAUCACAUACUACACCCUAAUGAAUCGAUCGCCAAAAUGUUUUGAGCCACUAUUGAGAUUCAAAAGAUAA